rnacentral:rRNA from 1 species
UAAGGAAUAUUGGUCAAUGGACGAAAGUCUGAACCAGCCAUGCCGCGUGGAGGAUGAAGGUCCUCUGGAUUGUAAACUUCUUUUAUAUGGGACGAAAAAAGGCCUUUCUAGGUCGUCUGACGGUACCAUAUGAAUAAGCACCGGCUAACUCCGUGCCAGCAGCCGCGGUAAUACGGAGGGUGCAAGCGUUAUCCGGAUUCACUGGGUUUAAAGGGUGCGUAGGUGGGUUGGUAAGUCAGUGGUGAAAUCCCCGAGCUUAACUUGGGAACUGCCAUUGAUACUAUCAGUCUUGAAUACCGUGGAGGUCAGCGGAAUAUGUCAUGUAGCGGUGAAAUGCUUAGAUAUGACAUAGAACACCAAUUGCGAAGGCAGCUGGCUACCCGAAUAUUGACACUGAGGC